rnacentral:lncRNA from 1 species
UUCAAUACAUUGGUCCUAACAGAAAUUGUGGCCAACGAAUCCAUUACCUCUUUAUCAGAUAAUAUUUCCACAUAUUCAUCAAUCGGAGUCUUAUACCACAGUUUUGCAGAACUAUUGAACCCUAUGCUUUCCACCAACUCAAUUACAUCAAAAUAUCCAAACCUAUCUCUAUCUAACUUCGUUUUUCAGUCAACUAUUCCACCUAAAUAGGUAUCUUUACCACCCAGCUUCAUAAAACGACCACCAUGAUGUAAAAAACAAUAAAAAGUUUCACUGCAAACGAACAAAAAUGAAUUUGUUCUCAGCCAUGCAAAAAAAAAAACAGUUUUUACUGAAUAAAGUGAAGAACACUUAAAAACUGAUUAAAAGGGCCUACCUUUGAGACAUUUCUCCAGUGUUUUGCGGUCCCAGAUGCCACCUUC